UCAUGUGUUACUCUAUUUACGAAAACUAAUUGUUAAGAAUGACUGAUUUUGAUGUCAAAAAAGAAAACCAAUAAGAAAAAAGAUAUGACAACCUUUAAAAUAUCAAAACAUCAGCCGAAAAAAGUUUCUGCAUAUGGUUGUCAUUAGCUAAUGAAAGUGAUGGCGGAAAAAUACUGAGUAUACUGGAUUUUUAGCAAUUACUCAAAACUCAUACAUUUUCAAAUCAAAAUAUCGCAAACUACCGUUCAAAUCAAAAAGUCAGAUUUAUAUAUAAAAUAAAUUUGAUGAGGAGCUGUUUACAUACAUACUAUUUUGUCAAGGAAGGGAUUUUUUUGAUUAUUUCAGAAUAAAUUUGAUGAGGAACUGUUUACAAUACAUACUAUUACGUCAAGGAAGGGAUUUUAAAAAAUAAAUGAAUAUUUUUUUUAAUAUUAGGAGAAUUCUUUUAAUCAUUUACUUAAAUUUUUUUUCAGAUACAAUCAGUUCACAUUAAAAUUGUGUUAGUACAAUCGUAGUAAUUCUAACAUUUAAUAAGUUGAAUUCUAUGCUAAUGUCGCAUUGCUACAAUAUGGAUACGUUUGUACGGUUUUAGUUUUACCACAUAAAGAGUGCGCUACAUCAAAUGAUACAGGAGCUGGAUUUUUUCGCGGGCCAAUUUUAAAUUUUUGCGUAUAUAAAGGAAAAUGAUCAACCGAACUUUGAGCCAAUUUUACAUAUUUUACCAUAUUUACAAAAAAUAAUUAAUGGAAUUUCUUGAAAUUUAAUAUUUGAGCUCUAGUCCCAACCAAAAUUAACUGGCGAACUUUUCACGAGUUUCAGAUUUAAUAAAGCGAAAUUCCCUUUAAAGACAAAUUUACAUUUUUCUACGUACGUUAACCUAAAAGCUUACUAACUUCCUUGAAAUUGAAAAGAAGUGUUUAUAAGGCAUUUUCAUAUCUUCUGUACACUUUCGCUAAAAUACACAAUGACGUUUACGAAUGAAUACGGACGUUUUUAGUUGAAUAGAAACUGGUUGAAAAUUCAAAAUAAUUAAAUUUCUUCUUUUUUUCUCAAAUAAUUGACUGAUGAUAAUUCCCUUCAAAAUAAAAAUAAAUAAAUGGAGAAUGAAGCAAAUUUAGAAGUAUUUUAUUUAGAUGAAUUGCAAGAUCAAAUGGAAGCGACAAAAUAUUGUUCAAAAGUAUUUCAACAUCCAAAAUUUUGAAAAUGCUCGAAGUUUUACACAAUUAUUUUUCAUAAGUGUAAUAAUUUAUAAA